rnacentral:rRNA from 1 species
AAGAAAAUAGGUUAUAUGCGAAUGGUGGAUGCCUUGGGAUAUUGAGGCGAUGAAAGACGUGGCGUGCCUGCGAUAAGCUUCGGGGAGGUGGCUAGCAACCUUUGAUCCGGAGAUUUCUGAAUGAGGAAACUCUACAGUGUUAAUACAUUGUAAUCUGUCCAACUUUUUGUACAAAAAAAUGAAGAGUAGUCAUGGCUGGAAACAGCACUUUCUUGGAUCACUUUCUUGCUCCUUCUUGGGGUGAUUUAAGAAAGCCUCGAAACAUGGCUACUCUUCUAAAUUAAAGACUGAGUCGAAAUCGUCGUUAUGCUGGAAUCCAAUUGCCAGUAAACAUAAAGGGGCGCCACGAAUCGACUCAGUCCCUUUUUCAAUUUAUAAUUGAGUACAAAAAGUUGGACAGAAGCUAACCCGGUGAAGUGAAACAUCUCAGUAGCCGGAGGAAAAUAAAAAAAUGUGUUUUACUUCGUAAAACACGCAUUCCCUUAUUAGUGGCGAGCGAAAAGGGAACAGUCUAAACCAGUAUUUAUAUUGGUGUUGUAAGGAUUUAACGUCGGGGGCAUUAUUUGUUUCUCGUAUAGUCGAGAAAUAAAUAAUGUGAUCCGAGGGAGAAUAAGUUAAAAGGGUUAAAAGAAGCACUCUGGAAAGAGGCGCCAUAGGAGGUAAUAGCCCUGUAUUUAAAAAUUCUUUUAUGCUCCUUGUUAAGUUUCUUAAGUACUGUCGGGAAUGAUAACCCGGCAGGAAGCAGGCUAAACUAUUAGCCAAGACUAAAUACUCAAUAUCACCGAUAGUGAACCAGUACCGUGAGGGAAAGGUUAAAAGUAGGCCGUUGAGGCCGGUGAAAUAGAACCUGAAACCAUUUGCUUACAAAGAGUUGGAGCCUGGCGCAAGCCGGGUGACAGCGUGCUUUUUGCAGAACGAGCCAACGAGUUUUAUUAUGCGGUUUGUCUAAGCCCUUCUGGGGCGCAGNNNNNNNNNNNNNNNNNAAAGACCCGAAGCCAGACGAGCUUACCUUGAGCAGGAUGAGCCUCUCCGAAAGGAGAGGGGAGGUCCGAACCCGUGAGACGUGCAAUCCUCUGGGAUGACUUGAGGUAAGGAGUGAAAAGCUAAUCGAGUUUGGUAAUAGCUGGUUCUUCCCGAAACAGCUUUGGGGCUGGCGUCUAUGAUACAUUGUGGGGGUAGAGCACUGAAUAGAAUUCCUUGGAGUUUCUCCAGGUAUUCUAAUCAAACUCCGAAUACCAUAAUCUUUUACAUAGGCAGUAAGACUACGGGGGCUAAGCUCCGUGGUCAAAAGAGUAACAGCUCAGAUCAUCGUCUAAGGUCCCUAAAUUAAACUAAGUGUUUUGAAGGCAGUAUUUUGCCCUCGACAGGCAGGAAGUUAGCUUAGAGGUAGCUAUCUUUUAAAGAGUGUGUAACAACUCACUGUCCAAACUUCUGGCUUUUGCCAGAGGAGGGGCGAAACGCGCCAAAGAUUUCCGGGACUAAAGUUUAAUACCGAAGACAUGGAUGCAACCAUACCUCAGUGCGCUGAGGAUGGAAUUACUAAUUUCUAAUUAACCUAAUUUCUAAUUAAGUGCUAAUUUUUUACCAAAUUCCAAAUAAGUUCUAAAAAUAUACAAGUUAAAAGCCGUUGAUGUUAUCGCAGGCUCUAGUUCGUCAGUUAUAGGAACUGACACCUUUCCUUAUUCGUUCCAGCCUCCGAUCUCGAAUGAGGGGUGCAUCAUCAAGAGCGCCUUGACCUCUUGACCCGGCUGGAUGGCGGGUAAGUGGCUGAAACUGUCGUUCCCCUCAAUCCGGACAUAACAGGGCAAGGGUUCUCCCGUAUUGUUCUUGAGGAAAACGUUGCCAUUCCGAUCGACCCGGAUUUCCAAUUUGUACGACGGCAUUUGCGGUCUCCUUUGUUAGUUGACUGGAUUGAACUUUAACACAAUUUAAUUAUAGCAUAUUAAAGAAACCUUGUCAAUAGGCAAAAACAAGAAAAAACAAAAUGUAGAAUUUAUUUGGGAUUUGGUAAUUGGUAUUUAUUUAGAAAUUAGAAAUUUAGAUUUAGAAAUUCCACCCGAGCGUAGCGAGGUGUGGUUGCGUGGUAGGGAAGCAUUCUUAGUGCACUGAAGCCGGCGGGUAACCAAAGGUGGAGCGCUAAGAAGAGAGAAUGUUGGCCUGAGUAACCGCAAUGCAGAUGAAAGCUCUGCACAUCGAAAGUUCAAGGUUUCCUUGGCAAUGGUAAUCAACCAAGGGUUAGGCGGUCCUAAGGGAAAGCCGAGAGGCGUACUCGAUGGAUAGUGGGUUAAUAUUCCCACCCUUGAAUAUAUUUUUAACAAGUUGCGCAAUGUAGUAAUUCUAGCGGAUAAUUGGAUUUCACGCUCUUGGUCUAAGGAGCAAUCUGAAGACACAGAAAAUUCGGAAUUUAUUCCGGAAAUUAGAGUGAGCGCGUUGCCUAGAAAAGGCUUGUUAAGUUAAAUUUAUUUAAACCGUACCGUAAACCGACACAGGUGAACAAGCGUAAGUAUGCUAAGAUGAACGGGUGAGACCUCGUUAAGGAACUAGGCAAAUUAGUGGCCGUAAGUUCGCAAUAUGGCCUGCCCAAGUCCGCAAGGAUUUUGGGCUGCAACAACCGUACUUCAACCGACUGUUUAUCAAAAACACAGCUCCCUGCUAAACUCGUAAGAGGAAGUAUAGGGGGUGAUCCCUGACCAGUGCUGGAAGGUUAAGCUUGGGGGUCGUAUCCGCAAGGGUAUGGCUCACUGAGUGAAGCCCCAGUGAACGUCGGCGAUAACUAUAAUCGUCCAAAGGUAGCGUAAUCCCUUGCCAGGUAAGUUCUGGCCCGCAUGAAUGGGUUAACGAGUUGAAGACUGUCUCGACGAGGCGCCCGGUGAAAAUGCAGUACCAGUGAAGAUGCUGGUUACCUGCGGCUAGACGGAAAGACCCCGGAAGCUUUACUGUAGUUUGAUAUUGACUUAUGAUUUUUAAUGCGUAGUGUAGUGGGUAGCCUAUGAAGCGGUAAUUUCGGUUACUGUGGAGGCGACGAUGAAACACCCAUCUUUGAAAAUUAUAAUUCUAAUUCACUUUAUUGUGAUGACAGUGUUAAAUGGGCAGUUUAAAUGGGGCAUUUGCCUCCUAAAGAGUAAUGGAGGCGUUUAAAGGUUAGCUAGCUCCGUAUGGAAAUCGGAGCGAUAGGGCAAAGCCAUAAGCUAGCUUUACUGCAAGACGUAUAUGUCGCGCAGUUGCGAAAGCAGAACUUAGUGAACCGACUUGAUUUUUAUAGAAAACAAGAAGAUCAUCAGCCAAAAGCUACUCCGGGGAUAACAGGCUAGUAGAGCCCGAGAGUCCAUAUCGACGGCUCUGUUCGGCACCUUAAAGACAUUGGGGUACCAUAGUAGCAAUACUAUAAACCUAAUUAGUCUGUUAUUUAUAAUUUUUAUAAUCUUUUCAAAAAAAGGUUAAACAUUGGCUUAUAACGGAGAACGCCAUAUUAUUUGCUCAAAUAUAUGGUCAACCCCGUGGGAAGUUUACAAUUAUUUAAUUGUAUAACCCCGUAGAGACUUGUUCUAAUUUGUAGAACAGAUAAAAGUUUAUUUAAAACUUUUAUAACACGCCAACGCCUCGUUAAGCGAGGAUGAAGAUAUAGUCCGAUCCUUAGAGUAAUCUAAGAAAAAUGCUGACAGCGAUGUCGGCUCAACACAUCCUGGGGGUGAAGCCGCUCCCAAGGGUUUGGCUGUUCGCCAAUUAAAGUGUUACGUGAGCUGGGUUCAAACCGUCGUGAGACAGGUUGGUCCCUAUCUACCGCAGGCGUUGAGUUUUGAGGGGAUUUGCUCCUAGUACGAGAGGACCGGAGUGAACUGACCUCUGGUGUACCAGUUGUUCUGCCAAGAGCAUCGCUGGGUAGCUAUGUCGGGAAUAGAUAAGCGCUGAAAGCAUAUAAGCGCGAAACUAACCCCAAGAUGAGAACUCUUAGAUUUCCCGCAGAUGACGGGAUUGAUAGGCUUCAGGUGUAAGGCUAGUAAUAGCUUCAGCCGAGAAGUACUAAUAAAUCAUACAUUU